rnacentral:rRNA from 1 species
CCUACGGGAGGCAGCAGUGGGGAAUAUUGGGCAAUGGGCGCAACCCUGACCCAGCAACGCCGCGUGAAUGAAGAAGGCUUUCGGGUUGUAAACUUCUUUUCUGAGGGACGAAAAAAGUGACGGUACCUCAGGAAUAAGCCACGGCUAACUACGUGCCAGCAGCCGCGGUAAUACGUAGGUGGCAAGCGUUAUCCGGAUUUAUUGGGUGUAAAGGGCGUGUAGGCGGGAAAGCAAGUCAGAGGUGAAAACCCAGGGCUCAACCCUGGGCCUGCAUUUUAAACUGGUUUUCUUGAGUGCUGGAGAGGCAAUCGGAAUUCCUGGUGUAGCGGUGAAAUGCGUAGAUAUAAGGAGGAACACCAGUGGCGAAGGCGGAUUGCUGGACAGUAACUGACGCUGAGGCGCGAAAGCGUGGGGAGCAAACAGGAUUAGAUACCCCUGUAGUC